rnacentral:lncRNA from 1 species
AAAUACAGAGAAUCCGCUAUUCACAUAGACAGAGUCUCUCCUGUAUUUGCACGGCAUCCAAUAAGUACAAGAUACAACCACAACAGUAUGACAUUCACAUACAUCCACCAUUCACAUUCACCAUUAAUUUCAUCACAGAUAUUCAUAAAUUUAAAUCUAUUAGUUUAUAACAUUUCCUACAUGGAAACUCAUUUUGAAACACUAAGAGUCAUGAAAACCAAGAAAAUCUUUCCAAAACCAUUUCUCACACGGAAACCAUUUUCUUCUAAAACACGAUGCUACGACUCAUCUCACAAGAAAACCAUAAUUUUUUUAUUACAUUCACAAAAUCCCAUUUAUCCAAAUAAAGUAAACCACUGAACCAAUAA